rnacentral:misc_RNA from 1 species
GAGAAACGUAGAUGCUCUGCAACAAAAAGUAUGCUUGUGCUGACUUCUGACACUCUUUUUGCAGAAUCUUGCCUGAGGUUUCGUGCAACUUCAUCAUAUUCAAUCAUCUUAACCCGAAAACCAUAGCUCAUGAAGAGAUCGUCAAGCCACUUCUUUAUGGCAGAAAGAUCACCAACCUGGUCUCCAACAUCCAUUUCAGCCAGCCAGACAGGAAG